GAUGAAGAACGUAGUGAAAUGCGAUAAGAAAUGUGAAUUGCAGAAUUCCGUGAAUCAUCGAAUCUUUGAACGCACAUUGCGCCCCCUGGUAUUCCGGGGGGCAUGCCUGUCCGAGCGUCAUUGCAACCCUCAAGCGCGGCUUGCGUGUUGGGCGCCGUCCCCCGUGGACGCGCCCGAAAGGCAGUGGCGGUACCGUGCUCCGGUGCCCGAGCGUAUGGGCUUAAAACCCGCUCUUGUGGCCCGGCCGGCGCUGGCCUCGACCCCCAACUUUACAAGGUUGACCUCGGAUCAGGUAGGGAUACCCGCUGAACUUAAGCAUAUCAAAAGCGGAGGA
rnacentral:misc_RNA from 1 species